AAAGAAUUAGUUAAAUUUAACAUUAAAUUGUCAAUUUAAAAAUAUUAUUAAUUUAAAUAAUAUUCUUUU
rnacentral:tRNA from 1 species